rnacentral:rRNA from 1 species
UACGUAGGGUGCAAGCGUUUGUCCGGAAUUAUUGGGCGUAAAGAGCUCGUAGGCGGUUUGUCGCGUCUGCUGUGAAAACUCAGGGCUUAACCCUGAGCCUGCAGUGGGUACGGGCAGACUAGAGUGUGGUAGGGGAGAUCGGAAUUCCUGGUGUAGCGGUGGAAUGCGCAGAUAUCAGGAGGAACACCGACGGCGCAGGCAGCGUCCUGGCCGCUUGCUGACACUGAGGCACGAAAGCUGGGGGAGCAAACAGG